UCGGUCGUAGCUCAGUUGGUAGAGCAUCGGGUUGUGGUUCCGAGUGUCGCGGGUUCGAUCCCCGUCGAUCGACCCA
rnacentral:tRNA from 1 species